rnacentral:rRNA from 1 species
UACGUAGGUGGCAAGCGUUGUCCGGAUUUAUUGGGCGUAAAGGGCGCGCAGGCGGUUCGUUAAGUCCGAGGUGAAAUCUCCCGGCUCAACUGGGAGAGGUCUUCGGAUACUGGCGGACUGGAGGUGAGCAGAGGUGAGUGGAAUUCUCGGGUGUAGUGGUGAAAUUCGUAGAUAUCGAAGAGGAACACCGGCGGCGAAGGCGGCCAACUCGGGACCA